rnacentral:rRNA from 1 species
GAUGAACGCUGGCGGCGUGCCUAAUACAUGCAAGUCGAGCGAACAGACGAGGAGCUUGCUCCUCUGACGUUAGCGGCGGACGGGUGAGUAACGCGUGGAUAACCUACCUAUAAGACUGGGAUAACUUCGGGAAACCGGAGCUAAUACCGGAUAACAUGUUGAACCGCAUGGUUCAACAGUGAAAGACGGUUUUGCUGUCACUUAUAGAUGGAUCCGCGUCGCAUUAGCUAGUUGGUAAGGUAACGGCUUACCAAGGCAACGAUGCGUAGCCGACCUGAGAGGGUGAUCGGCCACACUGGAACUGAGACACGGUCCAGACUCCUACGGGAGGCAGCAGUAGGGAAUCUUCCGCAAUGGGCGAAAGCCUGACGGAGCAACGCCGCGUGAGUGAAGAAGGUCUUCGGAUCGUAAAACUCUGUUAUUAGGGAAGAACAAAUGUGUAAGUAACUAUGCACGUCUUGACGGUACCUAAUCAGAAAGCCACGGCUAACUACGUG